rnacentral:rRNA from 1 species
ACGAACGCUGGCGGCGUGCUUAACACAUGCAAGUCGAACGGAAAGGCCCUGCUUGCCGGGUACUCGAGUGGCGAACGGGUGAGUAACACGUGGGUUAUCUGCCCUGCACUUCGGGAUAAGCCUGGGAAACUGGGUCUAAUACCGGAUAGGAGCCAUUUUUAGUGUGAUGGUUGGAAAGUUUUUUCGGUGUAGGAUGAGCUCGCGGCCUAUCAGCUUGUUGGUGGGGUAAUGGCCUACCAAGGCGGCGACGGGUAGCCGGCCUGAGAGGGUGGACAGCCACAUUGGGACUGAGAUACGGCCCAGACUCCUACGGGAGGCAGCAGUGGGGAAUAUUGCACAAUGGGCGCAAGCCUGAUGCAGCGACGCCGCGUGGGGGAUGACGGCCUUCGGGUUGUAAACUCCUUUCGCUAGGGACGAAGCUUUUUGUGACGGUACCUAGAGAAGAAGCACCGGCUAACUACGUG